UGUAAUUAAAGAGCUGACUCAAUCAUUAUGAAUUGCUUCAUCCAUCCAAAUUCUCACAAUGCACAGCCAGGGUUUCAAUCUUCUUUUUGGAACAAAGGAAUUGGGGUCUGGAACUUUCAGAAGAUGCAGAGGAUGCACAUUCUCAAGCAGGGUCUAUGAAAGCAGUAUGAUCACACUGGCAUAAUGAUGAAACCAAGCUGCUACUUCCUCUUUGGCUCAGAAAUGUUCCUAGCUAUGAUGGGCAACAUCUUGUUUUGGUACACCUACUUCUUUCAGACCUGAAAUUCAGAAAUCUACUUUUGACCUCUGUUGUAUAUCCACUGUCACUACCAACUCUGGAUUGUUGGCAGCCAUUAUCCACACCCACUUCGUUGACAGUACAGUGAUCUUCACCCUGUCUACUGUGAAAACCGUUUUAUGGAAUCGGUGAACAGUUCCUCAUCAUUGAAAUUCUCACUGGAUUCCGUUGCUGCAUUUAUUGUUUUAUUUCUGCUGGACUAAAUGACAAAAUGGCUGUGCAGUACUCAGCUUUUGCUGUUUUAUUCAAAUGCUAUAUUCAUUUUCCCACCCUGCAGGGUCAGGAGGACUCUGUAUUCCAGUAUUCAGUUGCUUUAUUUCUCUCCAUGCCUGUUGUGCCUUUCCUUUAUAUUCUCUGAUCAGAUGAUACAUAGUCUGUGCUUUCAUGAUUAUCUUACACCAUUUCCUGGCUCUUUAUUUUACAGAUAUAUAUCAAAUACAUUUUUAUAAGAAAAAAAUAAUAAUAAAAAAAGAACAUUUCAUAAAAUGAAAGAACUUAUUUCCAUGCAACAACAAAGACUAGAAAUUCUUCAUAGCUAUUGUUUCAUAUAUGCUGACAUUGUCAGACAACAUCCAAUUUUCAACAGAUAUCAAAAUAAAACGUAUCGUGAGA